ACACCCAUGACGCAGUGGCUUAGCGUGUCGUUCUUAUAUUUGUUCCUCGGAACACGUAUGGUAAUGCGAAAGUCGCGAGUUCGAAUCUCGCUGGGUGUA
rfam:Hortaea werneckii EXF-2000 unitig_669, whole genome shotgun sequence.